rnacentral:rRNA from 1 species
GACGAACGCUGGCGGCGUGCUUAACACAUGCAAGUCGAACGCUGAAGCUUGGUGCUUGCACUGGGUGGAUGAGUGGCGAACGGGUGAGUAAUACGUGAGUAACCUGCCCUUGACUCUGGGAUAAGCCUGGGAAACUGGGUCUAAUACUGGAUACGACAUGUCACCGCAUGGUGGUGUGUGGAAAGGGUUUUACUGGUUUUGGAUGGGCUCACGGCCUAUCAGCUUGUUGGUGGGGUAAUGGCUCACCAAGGCGACGACGGGUAGCCGGCCUGAGAGGGUGACCGGCCACACUGGGACUGAGACACGGCCCAGACUCCUACGGGAGGCAGCAGUGGGGACUAUUGCACAAUGGGCGGAAGCCGGAUGCAGCGACGCCGCGUGGGGGAGGACGGCCUUCGGGUUGUAAACCUCUUUCAGCACGGAAGAAGCGAAAGGGACGGGACGUGCAGAAGAAGCGCCGGCUAACUACGU